rnacentral:lncRNA from 1 species
UGUAAGACAAGCAACCCUAGAGAAAGAAGCGGCUGUCACAAAGGCCAGACCCAAAUGCCAUGUUAAGAGAUGGAUGAAGACUAGGAACUGUAGAGAAGGGUAGAACCAGUGUUAACUUCAGCUGAUGUACAUGCUUCUGCCAAAUAAAACUGCACAGCAGUAAAACAGGCAGAGAAGAAAGAAUCAACAGCAAAGGUAGAACUGGAACCAUGGAAAUCUCCAGGAGAGAGAUGAGGAAACUGAGGUGAAGGAGAAUAUGUAAUUUGCUCAUGGUCCACAGCCUACAUUCUUCAGUAUGUGCAGGGAAGACCUGGUGGGAUCUUCACUAUGGGGCCAAAGCAGCCUACAGUUUUGUCAUCCUAUGGACAAUUCCUCUCAGAGGAGGAAGAAAAGAGGGGUGAUCAGGGAGAGUGCUCGCACGGGGACAGAAGUGGGUGGAUUUGGAAUUAACGUGAACAGCCGACAUUUCACUUCCAUACAGAACUACACUGGGAUAAUUUUUAAAAAUUAAAAUUAAUAAAAAUUCUAAAACUUUGCAAGGAUAAAUUAAAGGAACUUGGAUAAUUUUGCUACGGGCCAAUGAAGCCAUAAAAUUGGUAGAGUUUGCCAAGAUGUGGAAUAUUUUUUACUUUCUUCCUAAAAGAACUCUAACAUAAAAACCAUCUGGUGUCCAUAUUUCCCAGAUCAAGGCGGGGUCUAGGUAGGAUGAGGCAGUGAAUGGAAGAAGCACUGACCCAGAGGCAGGAGAAUGGGUCUAGGCCCAUCUUGAAGAAAUAAUUUUAUACUUCCAGCCUCGGCUUCCCUUCUGUAAAAUAAACCUGUUGGAUUACCUCCAAAGUCCUUUAAACAGUAAAAUUCUAUUACUCUCUAACAAGUUUGCUCAAAGAACACAUAAGUAUUUUUUAAAUAGUAAAAGGUUAUAGAAAGUUAAUUUUUGAGUUCAUUUUCCCCUGAGUCUGGGCCCUGGCUCCGCCUCUCACCAGCUGCCUCUGCUGCUGUCUACAAAAGCCUGAGGCAGGAACCCACCUCUUUCUUAAAUGGCAGAUGAAAUUGCUCCUCUUGAAUGAAGACAAUCAGUAGCUACAAGGUAAUGGUGAGAGACUGUAUACCUAGGAAAGGUUCCCUCCCAGCAUGGACAGAGAACUAGGAAAAACAUUGGGAGAGUUUAAUACUUCCUUUAAUAAGAAAGGAAGUAUUUUGGAGAAAUCUUGACUGGAAAGCAAAUCUCCCUCUAUCCCUGAAGUCUUUAUCCAGGAACAGUGUUCAAGAAUCUCUGUGUUGCAAAUGUGGAAUGCAGUUUUGGUAUUCUCCUGCCUCGCAUGUAUGUUUCAUCAACAGGCCGGUGACCAGCUCAAAAAGCCUCAAGUGCUGCCCAAUUUCAGGACUGCCUGUCAUUUCUACAACCUAUGACUCUAGUUCAUGCAGCUGAGUUCAGCAUGGCCGUGGCUAAACACUGAGUCCUGACAUUUACAAUCCACCGCUGAGCUUCUUGGGCAAAAUGAGGCCCUUUCUUUUACUCACACGUCAGUUGCUUUGGGGGACUCCCAAGACUGAAUGUUUUCUAUCUGCCAUUUCUCCGCAGCUUGGCUAUUCCCUGCUGUUAUCUUUGGCUCUGUUGCUAUGGGCGGAAUAUUUUUUUGUCCUAGCUUAAUAACUGCUUAGCUGCCAGAGGUGCUCAUUUCUCAUUGUAUUGGUGGAGGAUUAGCGGAGAUGUUUGGGAGAUAUUUCCUGUAUUAAGCAGCAGGGGAGAGCUUGCUGGGCCGAUGCCUUCUUUUGACAUAGCGUCACACUUUUCCUUUUUUCCACUUUCUCUCUUGGAAUGUGCUGAGGCCAGUUAUUUGCAUCCAGAGCGGCAACUCCUCCCUGACACUUCGCAGAUCUCCAUCCCUUUUCCAGGUGCCCUUGCAGAAACACUUCUUGGGGAGGCUGUAGUGAGUCCCAGGCAAUCAUCUCGGUUGGUUUUCUUUCAUAGUUGGGGCUCAGCAGUGUCCUGUAUCACCAACUUACUUUGCAGGCUUAAUUGCCUGGAAACCUAUUCCAUACUUCACAUUUUUUUACAAUUAACUCACCAGCCUUCUAUUAGAGCCACCAUCUCACCCACAAUUAACUUGAAUCGGGUAAUCUGUAUUGCCUGAGAGUAUAAGAUACAAAUUUGCAGCUCUGUCCAGAACUCUAACUGCUCAUAGAUUUUUGGCCCUUGUGUCUGCUUGGGACAAUCCUCAAAAGACUGAGAAAAGCUGUCUAGAAAAAUUAUCAAAGGGAGACAGAAAUCUAUGAAUUUUUGGUUCUUGGUCAGAUUGCGAUAGAGAAGAAUAAAUGCUAACAAUUUCACUGGAAGUCAUUACUAAGAGUUUGGUGAUGUCACAGGGAUGUGACACAGCCUGGCCCGGGUUUGUCUUUUGAGGCCACCUCUUAAAAGCUCUGGGAAUUUUGGUGAGUCACUUUGCCUCUCUUCCCCACAAUUUUCUUGUCUAUAAUAUGGGGAUAGUUCUGACUCAUAAAGUUGUUGUGAGGUGUAAAUUUUGGAAGAUCCUGUAAACUAUAGACAUAAUAUUCUUAGAAUUAGGUGAGAAUGUAUGUGAAAACAUUUGCAAACUGCAAAGAACUGUACAAGUGUUAAUAGCUGUAGGUCCUACAAUGAAAACAUAAUAAAAUUUUUUAUCACACUUCAAAGUGUUGGGAGAACCAUUUUCUCCUUGCAGUGGGUAUUUAUCCUUCUGUUAAAAUACGAUCUUAAUCGCUUCCUAACUUGGAGGAAUCUCUCACUGUUUGAGGCACAGCCCACCUCCUGCCUGCCAGGUGCUGUGUCCCCAACCCAGGGCAUGGAACUAGGGCAUCAUAACCCAGGCUCAGCCAGUCAGAAGCAGAUGCUCAAGGCUUUGUUCCAGAAGCUGGCUGUCCAAAGGAAAGAGACUGCAGCAAGUCCAUUCUGGCUGUAGGAGGAUAGGGUUGACCAUAAUGUCUGGUUUCUGGACACAGAGUUGGUAGCAGAUCUAGAGUGGCAUCUGUCAUUCACUCUGGCAUUCAUCAUUCACUCUGGCCAGCUUGGUUGCUGUGAGCAGUGGGGGGCCAUCGUGCCUUUAGUUCAGUGGGUGAUUUGGGGUGUCAUUCCUGCUGCCUUACCUCCCAGCCUGGCUUUGUUGACAACGCAGAGAUUCCCUAAGCUGCCCCAAAUCCCUUUAUAUAAAACUGUAUUAUGGAAAAUUCCAAACAUACAGAAAAUUGAAAGGAAUAGAAUAAUGAACUCCUGUGUAUCUAUCACCCCAUUCCACAAUUAAUAUUUUGCCAAUUAUUUUACCUGUUUUUUGUCCCCCUCCUCACCUGUUUG